rfam:Ruminococcus sp. CAG:563 genomic scaffold, scf153
UAACUAAGCUGUUCUUUUUCAAAGACAGCAGGUGCAAUCAGCGUAAUGGUUUUAACAGACCGCCUGCCGAGAAUGGGAGCAUACGAUAACCGAUUUUUCGGGUCAAUAUUUGUAUGUCAUAUCCCUGUUCACGGUAAGUGGACAGGGAUUAAUUUUCGUUUAU